ACACAACUGUUGUGGUACAGCAACAACCUCAGCAAGUUGUCAUCCAAGGUCCACGUAAUUGGAGCACUGGCUUAUGUGGUUGCUCUGAAGAUUGUGGAGGAUGCUUAUUUGCCCUUUGCUGCCCGCUCAUUCACUCUUGUGUUGUGAGUGGCAAAGCUGGUGAAUGUUGUUGUGUUGCAUGCUGUUAUCCUGUUGCUCUUCGAGCCAAGAUCAGAACAAGACAUAAAUUGCAGGAAGUAUCGUUAAUGAUUGGUUUGUUAUGGCAUACUGCGGUUCUCUUGCUAUGUGUUAAAUGGACCAAGAAUUAAAUAUUCAUGGCAUUUAGAUUGAGGAACUUUCAACUUUUAAAAUGAUUCAAUGUGAUGUAACAACUUCUCUAUAUAUCAUUUGUAUCUUGAGACUUUGUAUGGCUUUUAUCGUUUGUAAUAUUUUAUAAUCAAUAAAAUAUUUUGAAGCUUAUAAAAACUAUUCCUGUUACUCUAACCAACGUUGCAUCCUGAGCUAAGAUAAAGAAACGAUACAAAAAUACACGAUGUAUUUACGUGUAAAUAAAUCAAUACUUUUCAACGUAAA